GGUCACUGCUAUCGGUGUUCGUCUAAGCCAUGCGAGUCAUAUGUUCUUCGGAACAUGGCGUACUGCUCAGUAACACGUGGAUAACCUGCCUUUGGGUCUGGCAUAACUCCGGGAAACUGGGGAUAAUACCGGAUAACGCAUAUCUGCUGGAAUUCUUUAUGCGUGAAAUGGAUUCGUCUGCCCAAGGAUGGGUCUGCGGCCUAUCAGGUAGUAGUGGGUGUAAUGUACCUACUAGCCGACGACGGGUACGGGUUGUGAGAGCAAGAGCCCGGAGAUGGAUUCUGAGACAUGAAUCCAGGCCCUACGGGGCGCAGCAGGCGCGAAAACUUUACAAUGCGGGAAACCGUGAUAAGGGGACACCGAGUGCCAGCAUUAUAUGUUGGCUGUCCGGGUGUGUAAAAUACACCUGUUAGCAAGGGCCGGGCAAGACCGGUGCCAGCCGCCGCGGUAACACCGGCGGCCCGAGUGGUGAUCGUGUUUAUUGGGUCUAAAGGGUCCGUAGCCGGUUUGGUCAGUCCUCCGGGAAAUCUGACGGCUUAACCGUUAGGCUUUCGGGGGAUACUGCCAGACUUGGAACCGGGAGAGGUAAGAGGUACUACAGGGGUAGGAGUGAAAUCUUGUAAUCCCUGUGGGACCACCUGUGGCGAAGGCGUCUUACCAGAACGGGUUCGACGGUGAGGGACGAAAGCUGGGGGCACGAACCGGAUUAGAUACCCGGGUAGUCCCAGCCGUAAACGAUGCUCGCUAGGUGUCAGGCAUGGCGCGACCGUGUCUGGUGCCGCAGGGAAGC
rnacentral:rRNA from 1 species